UACAGAGGGGGCUAGCGUUGUUCGGAAUUACUGGGCGUAAAGGGCGCGUAGGCGGCCUUCUAAGUCGAACGUGAAAUCCCCGGGCUCAACCCGGGAACUGCGUCCGAUACUGGAGGGCUCGAAUCCGGGAGAGGGAUGUGGAAUUCCAGGUGUAGCGGUGAAAUGCGUAGAUAUCUGGAGGAACACCGGUGGCGAAGGCGGCAUCCUGGACCGACACUGACGCUGAGGCGCGAAAGCUAGGGGAGCAAACGGG
rnacentral:rRNA from 1 species